rnacentral:rRNA from 1 species
GUAGGGAAUUUUCGUCAAUGGGGGAAACCCUGAACGAGCAAUGCCGCGUGAGUGAGGAAGGUCUUCGGAUUGUAAAGCUCUGUUGCCGGGGAAAAGAGGAAAAGAGAGGAAAUGCUCUUUUCAGGAUGGUACCCGGCCAGAAAGUCACGGCUAACUACGUGCCAGCAGCCGCGGUAAUACGUAGGUGGCAAGCGUUAUCCGGAAUGAUUGGGCGUAAAGGGUGAGCAGGCGGCCUGGACAAGUCAUGAGUGAAAGGUGGAAGCUUAACUUUCACAGGCUGAUGAUACUGACAGGCUUGAGUACAGGAGAGGGCGGCGGAACUCCAUGUGUAGCGGUAAAAUGCGUAGAUAUAUGGAAGAACACCAGUGGCGAAGGCGGCCGCCUGGACUGUAACUGACGCUGAGGCACGAAAGCGUGGGGAGCAAAUAGGA